rnacentral:lncRNA from 1 species
UUAAAGAGCAGUAAUUGACUAAUUAAUUUAACCAUGUAUGUGAAACAAAAUUGGAGCAUUGGAUUCUCUGAGACACUGCAUGAAUUGAGUGAUGCAACAACUACCACCACCACUUGGUCGGACAUGACUCAAACUCGUGUUUAACUUUGUGAUGUAUAUGACUCAGUCUUAGAAACUUGAGGAAGAGUAGUGAUGACACUUUCAACUUGCAUUAUUGCCACUACAAUUAUGCAAGGGCCUCAUGCAUCGUGAAUGAAUAGGAUAGUUUACGACUUUUGCAGGACUAAUCACAUUUCUAAAAUUCAUAUGGUUCCUUUCCUUCAAUGAGCUACAUCCAAAUAUAAAUUCUUUGUAAUUUUUGAGAUAUGUUUGCCUGCUACUGGUCAGCUAUCCACUCUAUAAAGUUAUACCAUGGUUGCCUAAGUUAUACCAUGCUGCUAUACUCCAUAAGCCAGGCAUAACAAUGAACAGGUCAUCAAUCAACUCAAACACCUUAUAAUUGACACAUCCAUUUAUAUGUAAACUGCUUCUUACCUAUGAUACACAAUUU